rnacentral:lncRNA from 1 species
AUGUAUCUGUUAUGUGUGAGGGCUGAAAUCAUGGUCCUGUUGCUUGCUUACUGUUAGUUUGCUGCCUGUUUACCUGAAUUCCAGCGGACUGAAUCAUGCCCCUGAAACUAUUCACAAUGGGAGUAAUAUAUAUGUAGUAAGAUGUCAUCUAAGCAAAAAAGAAGAUGUGGUAAUUAAUUAAUGAGAAGUGAGAGAAAUUGAGUACUAUGAGUAACAUAUUGCAUAUCAAGACAAGAUGGGAUUAUAACCAUAAAUGAAAGGUUUAAUGUUACUACUUUUCUGUUACUGUUAACUGUAGAGGUAGUAACUUAAAUCAAUAACAUCUGCAUGUUAUUACUCUCAUUAUGAGUAGUCUCACUCCGUUAUGGGCUUACCGUUCUUGCUGAAGCCAAGGUGCCAAUCGCACGCUAAAAAUUGCAACUGUUUGGCAGCACAAAACCCUAAUUUUGUUGAUGUGAGUGGUGACAACCCGCUCAACCCUUAAUCAUCACUAACAAUUUAUCUCAGCAAGAUAGAGCUUCCUGAUUUAUGAGUUCCCAGUGAGUGAACUGCAAAAAAAAUUAUAUUUAAGACAUCGUUUGCAGAAAAACCAUCAAGUCGUUAAUUUCUUGUAAAAUUUACCAUGUUUUCAGAUAAUAUUUUGCAGAAACAUUGAUCGUACACACCCCUGCGUCUAUAACAAAAACACAAUCAGCCGCCCACGCUCGAGCACGACAGCGCCAUGGCCUUGCCGUCCGUUGCACAUGAACGAUCCGGCGAGCACGGCGUGGCCGUACCCGAGCGCGUCGCGGUGGGUACAGGGGAGCCACCAACCGGAGCUAAUGGAGAGCUCAGCACGACAGCGCCGUGGCCUUGCCGUCCGUUGCACAUGAGCGAUCCGGCGAGCACGGCGUGGGCGUACCCGAGCGCGUCGUGGUGGGUACAGGGGAGCCACCAACCGGAGCUAAUGGCCGAAAGGUACAUGGGAGCUUCCUCCCGAGAGGAAGCUGCCAUAGCUAAUGGCCGAAAGGUACAUGGGAGCUUCCUCCCGACGUUUGCUGGCUCAUGGCAGCUUCCUCCCGGCGUUUGCUGGCUCAUGGCCGUCGGUGGAUCUGGCUUCACGAGGCGGAUGGGUCAUGCGCACGAACGGGAAGAGGACGACUCGUUGCCGUCGGCUUUUGCUCCAUGCCGUCGCCGAACGUGCUAGUGUUGUGUGCCACCGCGGUUUCUUGCAUCAAUGNNNNNNNNNNNNNNNNNNNNNNNNNNNNNNNNNNNNNNNNNNNNNNNNNNNNNNNNNNNNNNNNNNNNNNNNNNNNNNNNNNNNNNNNNNNNNNNNNNNNGGCCGCGUCGAGGGCGGAGGGUGGCGGCGUCGGGGCGGCUGCCAUCGGGGGCGGAGGAUGGCGGCGUCAGGGGCGACCGUCGUCGAGGGCGGAGGUUGGCGGCGUCGGGCGCGGCCGCCGUCAAGGGCGGAGGUUGGCGGCGUCGGGGGUAGCCGCCGUCAGGGGCGGAGAGGGGCGGAGGUUGGCGGAGUCGGGUGUAACCGCCGUCAGGGGCGGAGGUUGGGGGCGUCAGGGCGAAGGUUGGUGGCGACGGAGAGUGCGGGCGGGCCGAGCAGCGCGGCGAGCGAGGCCGGAGGAGGCGGGGCGAGGCAGGACGACGUGGGGUGGCAAUUAGCGCUAACGAAAACUAUCAGUUUCGUUAACGACGUUUGUAGACCCUUGAUGAGGUAAUUAAACAGUUUAGAUUGAGAGUUGGAUCUGCCCUCUCGUGCUUUUAAUAGUAGAGAUGUGUUUGUUACCACCUGGCCGGCAAGGCGCGAUGGCGACCACAUGACGGUAUGACUCGCUGAUGAUGGCAUUAGAAUCGUUGACAUGACAAGCAAAGCUUCAACCGUCAACGUGAAAAACUGGAACCCUGACCGCGACGAGCUGCGAUGGUCACCACGACAAGUUGGAAUCGUGGUCGCAGUGAGCUGCGUCGGUCACCGCACCAAGCUGAAACCGCGAUGUGGAGAGGUGAAAAAGCGGUUGCGAUUUGCUGCAAGUGUGACACAAUUUUUCGCGGAACCACGACUGCCCGGGGGCAAGGAUGGCGAGUGACAAUGAGCCACAGAGCUUCGAGGUUGGUCGCCUCGCUCGUCAGGGUUAGCCGCGCUGGAUCGUCGUUUUUUCUUCUAUGACCCUGUCUGGAUACUUUAACUAGGUUAGAGGUUAAAGUUAGAUUCUAACCCUCAACUAACCCUGAGCUAGCUCUAAGCAAAGAGAUGUUUGGAUGAGAGGGUUAUAUUGACAAUAAAUGCUCUUUCUCAAUCAUUUGGCUACUUUUGACCUUAUUUACUGUCGGAUUUGGUGUGGCCGGUCGUUGUGUGGCCUCCUCCCGCUCACAAAUCAAGUAUACAAAACAUGAUAAAAAUUAAUUUGUCCAUACAAACUAGAUGUCCCACUUGAACAUACGAGUCGUCAAUCGAAGUUUCAAAAAAUAUUACACUCGAUGAAACAAAACAUGAGCUAACUCAUCACGGAAGGCAUUCAUGUUAACAUCUUCAACAAGAGGUUCGUCUUCUGGCCAUGCAGAUGCAGAAGAAUCCGGCAGCUGGGUGACACGCACACUUUCAGACACGAACAUUUUCAAACGAACACACGCGCACACAUACCUGGUGGCGGUGGGAUGAGGUAGCCGGCUAGGGCGACGAGACCGGCGCGCUCCGAAGACGGGACGGCGCGGCCGGCGGCUGGGGACGGGUCGGGGCAGCGCGGCCGGCGGCUGGGGAUGGGUCGGGGUGGCGCGGGACGAUGUGUGACGGGGCGGGACGACACGGGGCGGGGCGGGACGGGANNNNNNNNNNNNNNNNNNNNNNNNNNNNNNNNNNNNNNNNNNNNNNNNNNNNNNNNNNNNNNNNNNNNNNNNNNNNNNNNNNNNNNNNNNNNNNNNNNNNGUGGUAUCAGAGCUAGGUUCAUGUGUAGAUGUCUUCUCGAGUAGAACACAAAAGGUUUUUUGGGCGGUGAUGUGCGUUUUGCUGCCCUCCUUAGUCUUUUCUUGAUUCCGCGGUAUUGUUGGAUUGAAGCGGCUUGGACCGACAUUACUCGUACGCUUACGAGAGACUGGUUUCAUCGUUACGAGUAACCCCCUUUGCUCAAAGAUGACUGGCAAGUGACGGUUUCUCCAACUUUAGUUGAAUCGGAUUUGACCGAGGAGGUCCUUGGAUGAGGUUAAAUAGCAACUCAUAGAUCUCCGUUGUGAUGUUUGCGUAAGUAAGAUGCGAUCCUACUAGAUACCCUUGGUCACCACGUAAAACAUGCAACAACAAAAUUAGAGGAUGUCUAACUUGUUUUUGCAGGGUAUGAUUGUGAUGUGAUAUGGCCAAUGAUGUGAUGUGAUAUAUUGGAUGUAUGAGAUGAUCAUGUUGUAAUAGAAAUAUCGACUUGCAUGUCGAUGGUACGACAACCGGCAGGAGCCAUAGGGUUGUCUUUAUACUAACAUAUGUGCUUGCAGAUGCGUUUACUAUUUUGCUAGGAUGUAGCUUUAGUAGUGAUAGCAUAAGUAGCACGACAACCUCGAUGGCGACACGUUGAUGGAGAUCAUGAUGAUGGAGAUCAUGGUGUGGCGCCGGUGACAAGAAGAUCGUGCCGGUGCUUUGGUGAUGGAGAUCAAGAAGCACGUGAUGAUGGCCAUAUCAUGUCACUUAUGAAAUGCAUGUGAUGUUAAUCCUUUUAUGCACCUUGUUUUGCUUAGAACGACGGUAGCAUUAUGAGGUGAUCUCUCACNNNNNNNNNNNNNNNNNNNNNNNNNNNNNNNNNNNNNNNNNNNNNNNNNNNNNNNNNNNNNNNNNNNNNNNNNNNNNNNNNNNNNNNNNNNNNNNNNNNNGCUAUGCUUUCCCCGUCACGAGGCCAAAAGUUAUAAAUAAAGCUCCGAUCACGAUGUACUAAAUGCAUAGGAUAGAACUUUUGAUGAAAUUCCAAUUUCAACCGAUUGUAGCCCAAUGAUCCAGUAUCAUCACAUAGCCUAUACCAUGUCAACGCCUUAUCCUUCAAAGAUAAAGGAAAGACUUUCUUCUUUACCUCAUCCUCGGGCAAACCUGCAAGCUUAAAUAAACCACAAAAUUCAUCUACAUAGAUCAGAUGCAAGUCUGGAUGUGAAGAUCCAUCUCCUGUGAAAGGAUUAGCCACCAAUUUCUCAAGCAUACCCGAUGGAAUUUCAUAAAAGAUAUUUUCAGUAGGUACCUCAGGUCGAGGAACAACUCCUCGUGCUUCCGUUCGUGGUGAAUAUACCCCGAACAAACUCCUCAAAGGAACAGUUUCCAUAGUGACAAGUGACAAUAAAUUUCAGCACAGUAUAUAAAUGUUUCCUUACCAAUUUCCACUUACCAAAGGCGCUUCACUCCCCGGCAACGGCGCUAGAAAAGAGUCUUGAUGACCCACAAGUAUAGGGGAUCAAUCGUAGUCCNNNNNNNNNNACAACUCCUCGUGCUUCCGUUCGUGGUGAAGAUACCCCGAACAAACUCCUCAAAGGAACACUUUCCAUAGUGACAAGUGACAAUAAAUUUCAGCACAGUAUUAAAAUGUUUCCUUACCAAUUUCCACUUACCAAAGGCGCUUCACUCCACGGCAACGGCGCCAGAAAAGAGUCUUGAUGACCCACAAGUAUAGGGGAUCAAUCGUAGUCCUUUCGAUAAGUAAGAGUGUCGAACCCAACGAGGAGCAGAAGGUUCUCAUAAACGGAUUUCAACAAGGUAAUAACUGCAAGCACUGAAAGUAGCGGUAACAAGUGAUUGUGNNNNNNNNNNNNNNNNNNNNNNNNNNNNNNNNNNNNNNNNNNNNNNNNNNNNNNNNNNNNNNNNNNNNNNNNNNNNNNNNNNNNNNNNNNNNNNNNNNNNNNNNNNNNNNNNNNNNNNNNNNNNNNNNNNNNNNNNNNNNNNNNNNNNNNNNNNNNNNNNNNNNNNNNCCUUUUGUAGCAAGGGACAAUCCUGAACAAAGUCUUAUAGGAGGAAAAACGCUCCCGAGGACACACGGGAAUUUCUGUCAUGCUAGUUUCAUCAUGUUCAUAUGUUUCACGUUCAUUACUUUGAUAGUUUGAUAUGUGGGUGGACCGGCGCUUGGGUACUGCCCUUACUUGGACAAGAUCCCAAUUAUGAUUAACCUCUCUCGCAAGCAUCGGCAACUACAAAAGAAGAAUUAAGACAAAGUCUAACUAUAACAUUAAACUAGUGGAUCCAAAUCAGCCCCUCACGAAGCAACACAUAGACUGGGGUUUAAGCUUCUGUCACUCCAGCAACCCAUCAUCUACUUACUAUUCCCCAAUGCCUUCCUCUAGGCCCAAGUAUGGUGAAGUGUUAUGUAGUCGAUGUUCACAUAACACCACUAGAGGAAAAGACAACAUACAUCAUAUCAAAAUACCGAACGAAUAUCAAAUUCACAUGACUAUUAUCAGCAUGACUUAUCCCAUGUCCUCAAGAACAAAAGUAACAACUCACAAAGCAUAAUCAUAAUCAUGAUCAGAGGUGUAAUUAAUAGCAUCAAGGAUCUGAACAUAAACUCUUCCACCAAGUAAUCCAACUAGCAUCAACUACAAAGAGUAAUCAACACUACUAGCAACCUUACAAGUACCAAUCGGAGUCGUGAGACGAAGAUUGAUUACAAGAGAUCAACUAGGGAUUGGAGAGGAGAUGGUGCUGAUGAAGAUGUUCAUGAAGAUGCCUCCCCUCCGACGAGAGGAGUGUUGGUGAUGACGAUGGCGACGAUUUCCCCCUCUGGGAGGGAAGUUUCCCCGGCAGGAUCGUCCUGCCGGAGCUCUAGAUUGGUUCUGCUCAAGUUCCGCCUCGUGGCGGCGGAGAAUCCACGAAAAAGCUUCACACUAAUUUUUUUCCGGACAAAAACCCUUCAUAUAGCAAAAGAGAGGGGCCAGUGGGCCACCAGGGUGCCCACAAGCCCUGUUGUCGCGGCCAGGAGGGCAGGCCGCGGCCACCAGGCUUGUGGGCCCCUCGCGGAUCCCCUCUCGCACUUCUUUCACCCAGUAUUUUUUAUAUAUUCCCAAAAAAUUCCAUGUUGAUUUUCAGGGCAUUUGGAGUUGCACAGAAUAGAGGACUCAGACUUGCUCCUUUUCCAGUCCAGAAUUCCAGCUGUCGGUAUUCUCCCUCUUCAAAUAAACCUUGCAAAAUAAGAGAGAAAACGCAUAAGCAUGGGACCAAAAAGUAUAAUAACAGUCCAUAAAGCGAUAAAUAUCAACAUGAAAGCAUGAUGCAAAAUGGACGUAUCAACUCCCCCAAGCUUAGACCUCGCUUGUCCUCAAGCGAAAACCAAGACCCAUAACAUGUCCACAUGUUUAGGGAUGAAGGUGUCGAUAAAACAUAAUAUGGACAAGAGGGCAUCAUGAUCACACAUAGAACAGCAAUACAUCAUAAAGAUUCUUAUGGGAAAGUAACAAUUCCUUCACAAAGCAAGUAUGAAACAAAAAACCUUACCGAGAAGUAGCCAACAACGGUCCAUAGUCAUUGAAGCAAUUGCAAUUUAUCAUAUCAUCAGAAAGAGUCAAAUAAGAGCUUGUAAAGCAAAUCCACAUACUCAGUCAUCUCUUUUGUUUUCCACAAUUUUUACAACUCACGUGGUACUCAUGGUAUCAAAGUUUGAGUUCGACACAGAGAAAGAUAGGGGCUUAUAGUUUUGCCUCCCAACCAUUUACCUCAAGGGUAAAGUCAACAAUAAUAAAGCAUAAGUACUCAUCUCCAAGUUGAUAUAUGAAUAUAGAUCUUUCCCAAGCAUAUGAAGUUCACCGAGAUGAAGACGGAAUAGGGAAUUGGUGUUGAUCACCAAGACUUUCAUCAGGACAAAAGUAAAGGUACAAGAUAGGCCCUUCAUAGAGGGAAGCAGAGGUUGUCAUGCGCUUUUGAGGUUUGGAUGUGUGUCCUCUUAGUGCGGAGGAACGUCACUUUAUAUUGCCUCCUGUGAUNNNNNNNNNNNNNNNNNNNNNNNNNNNNNNNNNNNNNNNNNNNNNNNNNNNNNNNNNNNNNNNNNNNNNNNNNNNNNNNNNNNNNNNNNNNNNNNNNNNNAUUUGUUUCCAGACCAUUCCGGAAACCCUCGUGACGUCCGUGAUCUCAUCCGGGACUCCGAACAACAUUUGGUAACCAACCAUAUAACUCAAAUACGCAUAAAACAACGUCGAACCUUAAGUGUGCAGACCUUGCGGGUUCGAGAACUAUGUAGACAUGACCCGUGAGACUCCUCGGUCAAUAUCCAACAGCGGGACCUGGAUGCCCAUAUUGGAUCCUACAUAUUCUACGAAGAUCUUAUCGUUUGAACCUCAGUGCCAAGGAUUCGUAUAAUCCCGUAUGUCAUUCCUUUUGUCCUUCGGUAUGUUACUUGCCCGAGAUUCGAUCAUCAGUAUCCCNNNNNNNNNNCGUGCAGACCCUGCGGGUUCGAGAACUAUGUAGACAUGACCCGAGUGACUCCUCGGUCAAUAUCCAAUAGCGGGACCUGGAUGCCCAUAUUGGAUCCCACAUAUUCUACGAAGAUCUUAUCGUUUGAACCUCAAUGCCAAGGAUUCAUAUAAUCCCGUAUGUCAUUCCCUUUGUCCUUCGGUAUGUUACUUGCCCGAGAUUCGAUCGUCAGUAUCCGCAUACCUAUUUCAGUCUCGUUUACCCGCAAGUCUCUUUACUCGUUCCGUAAUACAAGAUCCCGCAACUUACACUAAGUCACAUUGCUUGCAAGGCUUGUGUGUGAUGUUGUAUUACCGAGUGGGCCCCGAGACACCUCUCCGUCACACGGAGUGAUAAAUCCCAGUCUCGAUCCAUACUAACUCAACGAACACCUUCGAAGAUACCUAUAGAGCAUCUUUAUAGUCACCCAGUUACGUUGCGACGUUUGAUACACACAAAGCAUUNNNNNNNNNNNNNNNNNNNNNNNNNNNNNNNNNNNNNNNNNNNNNNNNNNNNNNNNNNNNNNNNNNNNNNNNNNNNNNNNNNNNNNNNNNNNNNNNNNNNCGUUUCGAGACACCACGUGAUGAUCGGGUGUGAUAGACUCAAUGUUCACAUACAACGGGUGCAAAACAGUUGCGCACGCGGAACACUCGGGUUAAGCUUGACGAGCCUAGCAUGUGCAGACAUGGCCUCGGAACACAUGAGACCGAAAGGUCGAUCAUGAAUCAUAUAGUUGAUAUGAUUAGCAUAGGGAUGCGUACCACUGAAACUACUCUCGACUCACGUGAUGAUCGGACUUGGGAUAGUGUAAGUGGAUCAUGAACCACUCAAAUGACUAGAGAGAUGUACUUUUUGAGUGGGAGUUUAGCAUAUAAUUUGAUUAAGUUGAACUCUAAUUAUCUUGAACAUAGUCUAAGUCCACUUUGUAUAUAUUUGUUGUAGAUCAUGGCUCACGCAAGUGUCAUCCUGAAUUUUAAUACGUUCCUAGAGAAAGCUAAGUUGAAAGAUGAUGGAAGCAACUUUGUAGACUGGGCUCGUAAUCUUAAGCUAAUCUUACAAGCUGGAAAGAAGGAUUAUGUCCUUAAUGCUGCGCUAGGAGAUGAACCACCCGCUACAGCUGAUCAGGAUGUUAAGAACGCUUGGUUAGCGCGUAAGGAGGACUACUCAAUAGUUCAAUGUGCAGUCUUGUAUGGCUUCGAACCGGGACUUCAACGUCGCUUUGAGCGUCAUGGAGCAUUUGAGAUGUUCCAGGAGAUGAAGUUUAUCUUUCAGAAGAACGCCCGGAUCGAGAGGUAUGAGACCUCCGAUAAAUUCUAUGCCUGCAAGAUGGAGGAAAACUCAUCUGUCAGUGAACAUGUGCUCAAAAUGUCUGGGUACUCAAACGGUCUAGCUGAACUGGGGAUUGAACUCCCGCAAGAAGCUAUCACUGACANNNNNNNNNNGUGCUUGCAAGAUGGAGGAAAACUCAUCUGUCAGUGAACAUGUACUCAAAAUGUCUCGGUACUCAAACCGUCUAGCUGAACUGGGGAUUGAACUCCCGCAAGAAGCUAUCACUGACAGAAUCCUCCAAUCACUGCCGCCAAGCUAUAAAGGCUUUGUGUUGAACUACAACAUGCAAGGGAUGAACAAGUCUCCCGGCGAGUUGUUUGCGAUGCUGAAAGUCGCAGAGUCUGAACUCCGUAAAGAGCAUCAAGUGUUGAUNNNNNNNNNNNNNNNNNNNNNNNNNNNNNNNNNNNNNNNNNNNNNNNNNNNNNNNNNNNNNNNNNNNNNNNNNNNNNNNNNNNNNNNNNNNNNNNNNNNNACAGCGGUCAAGAAUAUCCUAAAGUACCUGAAAAGGACUAAGGAGAUGUUUCUCGUGUAUGGAGGUGACGAAGAGCUCGCCGUAAAAGGUUACGUCGAUGCAAGCUUUGACACAGAUCCGGACGACUCUAAGUCGCAAACCGGGUACGUAUUUAUUCUUAAUGGGGGUGCAGUAAGCUGGUGCAGUUCCAAGCAAAGCGUCGUAGCAGAUUCUACAUGUGAAGCGGAAUACAUGGCUGCCUCGGAGGCGGCUAAGGAGGGUGUCUGGAUGAAGCAGUUCAUGACGGNNNNNNNNNNNNNNNNNNNNNNNNNNNNNNNNNNNNNNNNNNNNNNNNNNNNNNNNNNNNNNNNNNNNNNNNNNNNNNNNNNNNUUCAUGACGGAUCUUGGAGUGGUGCCAAGUGCACUGGAUCCAAUAACCUUGUUCUGUGACAAUACUGGUGCCAUUGCCUUAGCAAAGGAACCAAGGUUUCACAAGAAGACCAGACACAUCAAACGACGCUUCAACCUCAUUCGCGACUACGUCGAGGAACAGGACGUUAAUAUAUGCAAAGUGCACACGGAUCUGAAUGUAGUAGACCCGCUGACUAAACCUCUUUCACGGCCAAAAGAUCGACACCAGAACUGUAUGGGUGUUAGAUUUAUUACAAUGUAAUUCACAUGGUGAUGUGAGGGCUAGAUUAUUGACUCUAGUGCAAGUGGGAGACUGUUGGAAUUAUGCCCUAGAGGCAAUAAUAAAUGUAUAGUUAUUAUUAUAAUUCCUGUAUCAAGAUAAUAGUUUAUUAUCCAUGCUAUAAUUGUAUUGAAUGAAGACUCAUUUACAUGUGUGGAUACAUAGACAAAACACCGUCCCUAGCAUGCCUCUAGUUGGCUAGCCAGUUGAUCAAUGAUAGUCAGUGUAUUCUGAUUAUGAACAAGGUGUUGUUGCUUGAUAACUGGAUCACGUCAUUGGGAGAAUCACGUGAUGGACUAGACCCAAAUUAAUAGACGUAGCAUGUUGAUCGUGUCAUUUUGUUGCUACUGUUUUCUNNNNNNNNNNNNNNNNNNNNNNNNNNNNNNNNNNNNNNNNNNNNNNNNNNNNNNNNNNNNNNNNNNNNNNNNNNNNNNNNNNNNNNNNNNNNNNNNNNNNACUAGUUUCAAGAGAAACGGCAAAGGCAAGAAGGGCAAUUCGAAGAAGAGCGGCAAGACUGUUGCCAAUCCGCCGAAGAAACCCAAGGCUGGACCUAAGCCUGAAACAGAGUGCUUCUAUUGCAAGGGUAUGGGUCACUGGAAGCGCAAUUGCCCCAAGUAUCUGGCAGAUCAGAAGGCGGGCAAAGAAAAAUCAGGUAUAUUUGAUAUACAUGUUACUGAUGUGUACUUAACCGGCUCUCGUAGUAGUGCCUGGGUAUUCGAUACCGGUUCUGUUGCUCACAUUUGCAACUCGAAGCAGGAACUGCGGAAUAGACGAAGGCUGGCGAAAGACGAAGUGACGAUGCGUGUAGGAAACGGUUCCAAGGUUGAUGCAAUCGCCGUCGGCACCGUGUCACUUCAACUACCAUCGGGAUUAGUGAUGAACUUAAANNNNNNNNNNNNNNNNNNNNNNNNNNNNNNNNNNNNNNNNNNNNNNNNNNNNNNNNNNNNNNNNNNNNNNNNNNNNNNNNNNNNNNNNNNNNNNNNNNNNNNNNNNNNNNNNNNNNNNNNNNNNNNNNNNNNNNNNNNNNNNNNNACAUUAUAUCUGGAUCUUGUUUAUUGUGAGACGGUUACUCUUUUAAGUCUGAGAAUAAUGGUUGUUCUAUUUCUAUGAGUAACAUCUUUUAUGGUCAUGCACCGAAUGUGAGAGGAUUGUUCAUAUUGAAUCUCGAUAGCAAUACGCAUAUACAUAACAUUGAGACCAAAANNNNNNNNNNNNNNNNNNNNNNNNNNNNNNNNNNNNNNNNNNNNNNNNNNNNNNNNNNNNNNNNNNNNNNNNNNNNNNNNNNNNNNNNNNNNNNNNNNNNNNNNNNNNNNNNNNNNGAGUAAACAAUGAUAGCGCCAUAUUUUUGUGGCACUGCCGCUUGGGUCAUAUUGGUGUAAAGCGCAUGAAGAAACUCCAUGCUGAUGGACUUUUGGAGUCACUUGACUUUGAUUCACUUGACACGUGCGAACCAUGCCUCAUGGGCAAGAUGACUAAAACUCUGUUUUCCGGAACAAUGGAGCGUGCAAGUGACUUGUUGGAAAUCAUACAUACCGAUGUGUGUGGUCCAAUGAGCGUGGAGGCUCGCGGCGGAUAUCGUUACUUUCUCACCUUCACUGACGAUUUAAGUAGAUAUGGUUAUGUCUACUUGAUGAAACACAAGUCUGAAACAUUUGAAAAGUUCAAACAAUUUCNNNNNNNNNNACGCGGCGGAUAUCGUUAUUUUCUCACCUUCACUGACGAUUUAAGUAGAUAUGGUUAUGUCUACUUGUUGAAGCACAAGUCUGAAACAUUUGAAAAGUUCAAGCAAUUUCAGAGUGAAGUGGAAAAUCAUCGUAACAAGAAGAUCAAGUUCCUACGGUCUGAUCGUGGGGGUGAAUAUCUGAGUUUCGAGUUUGGUACUCACUUAAGACAAUGUGGAAUUGUUUCGCAGUUAACACCGCAUGGAACACCACAGCGUAAUGGUGUGUCCGAACGUCGUAAUCGUACUUUGUUAGAGAUGGUGCGAUCUAUGAUGUCUCUUACUGAUUUGCCGUUAUCAUUUUGGGGUUAUGCAUUAGAAACAGCUGCAUUCACUUUAAAUAGGGCACCAUCAAAAUCCGUUGAGACGACACCANNNNNNNNNNNNNNNNNNNNNNNNNNNNNNNNNNNNNNNNNNNNNNNNNNNNNNNNNNNNNNNNNNNNNNNNNNNNNNNNNNNNNNNNNNNNNNNNNNNNUUAUCUUGAUACAGGAAUUAUAAUAAUAACUAUACAUUUAUUAUUGCCUCUAGGGCAUAAUUCCAACAGUUAACUUGUGAUCUUGCUGAAAUUCUGGUUAUGAGUUAUACAUAGUUGCAACAACAAGAUCAAACAGAGUUUGUCAAAGUUUUUAUUUCUCUCUCAGUUUGUCAACUGAGUUGCUUGAGGACAAGCAAGAUUUUAAGCUUGGGGGAGUUGAUACGUCUCCAUCUUAUCAACUUCUCCAAACUCUUUUGCCCUUAUUUUGGACUCUAAUUUGCAUGAUUUCAAUGGAACUAACCUGGACUGACGCUGUUUCAGCAGAAUUGCCUUGGUGUUAUUUUUGUGCAGAAAUCAAAGUUCUCCAAAUGUCCUGAAAAUUUACGGGGAGCAGUUUUGGAAAAUAUAAAAAAUAUUCGCGCCAAGUUCCACCUGAGGGGGUGGGCCAGUGGGCCACAAGCCCUAGCUCCGCCACCACCCCCUGGUGGCGGUGGGCAGGCUUGUGGGGCCCACACGGCUCUGCCGCCCUCAACCUCAGGUCUAUAAGAUCCCUUUCGUCCCAGAAAAAAUAAAAAGAGAAGUUUUCAUCGCGUUUACGUUACGGAGGCACCGCCACCACCUGUUCUUCAUCUGGAGGGCAGAUCUGGAGUCCGUCUUGGGCUCCGGAGAGGGGAAAUUGUCUCCAUCGUCAUCAUCAACCUUCUUCCCUCUCCAAUUCCAUGAAGCUCUUCGUCGUUCGUGAGUAAUCUAUUCGUAGGCUCGCUGGGCGGUGAUGAGUAGGAUGAGAUCUAUCAUGUAAUCGAGUUAGUUUUGAUGGGGAUUGAUCCCUAGUAUCCACUAUGUUCUGAGAUUGAUGUUGCUACUACUUUGCCAUGCUUAAUGCUUGUCACUAGGGCCCGAGUGCCAUGAUUUCAGAUCUGAAAUUAUUAUGUUGUCACCAAUAUAUGUGUGUUUUAGAUCCGAUCUUGCAAGUUGUAGUUACCUACUAUGUGUUAUGAUCCGGCAACCCCGGAGUGACAAUAACCGGAACCACUCCCGGUGAUGACCAUAGUUUGAGGAGUUCAUGUGUUCACCAAGUGCUAAUGCCUUGGUCCGGUUCUUUAUUAAAAGGAGAACCUUAAUAUCCCGUAGUUUCCUUUUGGACCUCGCUGCCACGGGAGCGAUGGACAAUAGAUGUCAUGCAAGUUCUUUUCCCUAAGCACGUAUGAUGACACACAGAAUACAUGCCUACAUCACAUUGACGAACGAGAGCUAGCCACAUAUCUCUCCGUGUUAUAACUAUUGCAUGAUGAAUAUCAUCCACACAAAUCACCAACCCAUUGCCUACGAGUUUGUCCUACUGUUGUUACUUGUCUUGCUCUGCUGCUGCUACUACUGUUGCUACUGUUGUUACUUGUCUUGAUUCGCUGCUACUGUUGCUACUAUGGUCGCUUGCUACUGUUGCUACUUGCUACUACUAUCAUUACUGCUUUUCCUUGCCGCUGCUAUUGCUCGUUAAACCGUCGUUAAUCGCUACUUUGCUGUUACUACUUUGCUUGCAGAUACUAAUCUUUCACGUGUGGUUGAAUCUAACAAUUCAACUGCUAAUACUUGAGAGUAUUCUCUCACCUCCCGUCGUGCGAAUCAACAAAUUUGGGUCGAAUACUCUACCCUCGAAAACUGCUGCGAUCCCAUGCGCUUGUGGGUCGUCAACAACAUUCUUCUAGUUUCGAUUGCCGGAGAGUGCUAACAGCAUUCUUCUGGUGUCGUUGCAAAGGGGAAGAACAGUUGGCAUCACUCGCCGGUCUGGGACCAGUUGAGCGGGGUACGACACUUCCUGCUAUAGAGAAUCUCAAACGGAGCUUUGCCUGAACUAGCUUGAUAACUGUUGUUAUACGAGAACUCAGCGAAAGGCAGACAGUCUUCCCACUUCAUGCCCAAAGAGAUAACACGGGCUCUCAGCAUAUCCUCAAGGACCUGAUUGACUCUCUCCACUUUCCCACUAGUCUGAGGAUGAAAAGGUGUGCUGAAGCGUAUCUUCGUGCCCAUCACAGACUAAAAAGAGUCCCAGAACUUGGAAGUGAAGAUACUUCCGCGAUCCGAAGAAAUCAACAUAGGCACACCGUGCAAAGACACUAUCCUCGAAGUGUACAACUCUGCAAGCUGAGCUGCCGAGAUGGAUUCCUUGACUAGAAAAAAAUGAGCCACUUUACUCAACUUGUUGAUGAAGACGAAGAUGGCAUCGUUAACCUUCUUAGACUUCGGAAACCCGGUGAUGAAAUCCAUCUCAAUAUGGUCGAACUUCCACUCGGGAAUGGGCAAUGGAUGCAAAAGACCUGCUGGACGUUGAUGCUCUGCUUUCACCCUUCGACAUACAUCACAUUCAUUUACGAACUGAGCAAUCUCACGCUUCAUGCGAGUCCACGAGAAGAUCUUUUUCAAGUUCUGAUACAUCUUGGAGCUUCCUGGAUGUAUAGAGAGCGGAGAGUUAUGAGCUCUUCCAUGAUUACCUUUCUGAGAUCACCUUUCAGAACGACAAGACGAUCCUCAAAGAAUAACGUGUCUCUAGUAUCAACACUGAAGCACUUAUAUUUGGGAACUCCCUUUGCCAAGCCAAUCUUAACUUUCUUCACCAUUGCAUCAAGAAGUUGUGCUGCUCGGACAUGAUCUUCCAAGGUAGGAGAGAUCUGAAAAUUUGCAAGAAAUCCCUGAGGUACUAACUGAAGGUUGAGCUUUCUGAAAUAUUCACAAAGGUCAGUCUGGAGAGGCUUUAGAAUGAGACUAUUGUAGUAAGCCUUCCUGCUCAAAGCAUCUGCCACGACAUUAGCUUUGCCUGGAGUAUACUCAUUGCUCGGAUUAAAAUCUUGGAGCAUUUCCACCCAACGAGUUUGCCGAAGGUUCAGGUUAGGCUGGGUGAAGAUGUACUUGAGACUCUUGUGAUCGGUGAACACUUCAGCCUUUCGUUCCAACAAGAGGUGUCUCCAAGUCAUUAGAGCAUGUACCACUGCUGGCAGCUCAAUAUCAUGCACAGGAUAAUUCUUCUCAGCUGGCUUCAACUGCCUCGAGGUAUAAGCAACCACUUUCAUCUCUUGCAUCAGAACUGCACCAAGACCUUGAAGAGAGGCGUCACAGAACACUUGGUAAGGUUUGGAGUCAUCAGGAGGAACCAAGACUGGAGUAGAGGUGAGCUUCUCUUUGAGUGUGUCGAAGGCCAACUGACACUCUGGAGACCAGGCAUACUUCACACUCUUCUGAAGAAGACUUGAGAGAGUCUUAGCAAUCUGGGAGAAGUUCUCAACGAACCUUCUACAAUAGCUUGCAAGCUCGAGAAAGCUUCGAAGUUGCUUCACAUUCUGCGGAGGCUCCCACUCAACAAUGGCCUGCACCUUCGACGGAUCAACUUUGAUGCCCUCGGCAGAGAUGAUGUGCCCAAGAUAGACAACUUCUUUCAACCAGAACUCACAUUUGGAAAACUUGGCAUAGAAUUUGUGCUCUCUCAGCUUAUCAAGCACCAGCCUGAGAUGUUCUUCAUGUUCUUCCUCAGUUUCUAAAAAGACCAGAAUAUCAUUGAGAUAAAGCAAGACGAAUUCAUUCUUGAACGGAGAGAAUAUGUAGUUCAUCAUUCGACAAAAUGUCGGUGGAGCAUUUGCCAUACCAAAAGACAUGACCGUAUAAUCAUACGAGCCAAAACUUGUCCUGAAAGCAGUCUUUGGAAUAUCCUCUUCGCGAAUGCAAAUUUGAUGAUAGCCCAUCCUGAGAUCGAGCUUGGAGAAGAUCUUAGCCCCUUUCAAGUGCUCGAACAACUCAUUUAUGUUCGGAAGUGGAUACUUGUUUCUGAUUGUCUUCUUGUUCAAUGGACGGUAAUCGACACACAAUCGGUCUGUGCCAUCCUUCUUCUUGACAAACAGUACUCCACAGCCCCAAGGAGACGAGCUUGGUUUGAUCAGACCCAAAUGCUCCUGCUCAUCGAGUUGCCUCUUAAGUUCCUUCAGCUCUUCUGGACCCAAUUUGUACGACCGUUUGCACACAGGCUCAGUACCUGGUUCAAGCUCAAUAACAAAUUCAACUUCUCGGUGUGGAGGCAUUCCUGGCAGUUCUUCUGGAAACACAUCUUCAUAUUCGCAGACCACUGGGACUUGCGAAAUAGGAUUAAUCUCACCCUUCUCAUUUAAAGAGAACUGACGGAUUGUGUCAUCGCGCGCCGCGAAGAUAAUCACGUCCUCCGAAGAGUGAGUAAGCUUCACUUCUUUAGCUUCACAAUCAAUCGAUGCCUUGUUCAUGGCCAACCAGUCCAUACCAAGGAUCAAAUCAAUGUCGGAAUUGCCCAAGACAAUAGGAGACGCCGGAAAAGAAUAACCGCCCAUCUUGACAGAGACAUCUCGAACCACUUUGUUGGCGGUCAUAAGAGUACCGGGUGACACCACACGUAAUGCCUUCUUCAAAUACUCAGAAUCAAAAUCAUGGUCGGCAAAGAACAUUCUAGACAUGAACGAAUGAGAAGCACCAGAAUCAAACAACACUUUAGCAGGAAUAUCAUUAACGAGGAGGUUACCCAUAAUCACAUCUGACGAGUUUUCUGCUUCAGCUGCAUUCACCAUAUUGACUCAAGCAGACCUGGGGUUAAACUUGACGGUAGCAUUGCUUGGAGGUUUGCCUCGAGGAGGAGGUGGAAGGAGCUGAGAAGUGCACUUGUUGGCAUAGUGACCCUUCUGCCCACACUUGUGACAAGUAACUUCUACUGCUGGAAUCUCUGCUGGAAAACUGGGUUGGGUGGGUGGGAAGAACCACGGCCACCUGAAUGCUUGAACUGUUGUGUGUGCCGAGGAGGAGGAGGAGACACCCAAAACUUAUGUUGCUUUUGAACCACCUGAGUUGAGGAAGACGAGCUGGAAUCUCUGAAGCGCUUCUUAGAAUUCUCCACCCUGAGCAAAGCUGCCUCAGCCCUGAGAGCUAAGUUGUAGAACUUAUUGAACUCCUCAGGAUCGUGCAAAGCGAGAGCUAGCUGCAAAUCUUCUUUCAAGCCACCUCUGAACUGAUAAAUAUUGCUCUUCUGAUCAGGGAUAUCCUGCAAGGCAUAUCGGGCCAGCUCAUGGAACUCGACGUUGUACUUGUACACGGAGUUACCACCUUGCUUCAAGCGCCUGAACUUCUCACACAUUUCUUCCACAAAGCUGGACGGGAUGUAGUGGGAUCUGAAGUCUCUGCAGAACUCAUCCCAAGAGAUCACUCUGGCACCCCUGGAAUCCUUCAAUUGUUGCCAACAGAUAGAUGCUUGCCCCUUCAGCUGGAAUGUAGCAAACUUGACGAAAUCCUCUGGACGUACAUUGCUGCAUUCAAAGUGCUUGUUCAUGUCGUGGAUCCAAUCCUCAGCAUCAAACGACUGGUCACAUGAAGUGAAAGUCUUCGGCUGAUUUGACAGGAACUGACUCAGAUUAGCAACCUGAUUGCCCCCAUGAUUGAAGUUGCCUUGCUGCUGAUUAGUCCUCUCUUGCAACAACUGUAUCAACAUCUGAGUGUUUGCAUUUGUAGCGGCCAUCUCCGCUUGCCAAGCCUCUAUAGGAGGAGGUGGUGGCGGCAUAUCCUCACGACCUGGAUUCUGACGAGUUGGUGGAGCCAUCCUGAAGACUGACGAGUUGGUAGCCCACAUAAUAAUAUUGAAGGUAAGGCUGAAUCAAAAAGGCAGGAAUAUCUGAAUAGGAAUAUUAGCAAUUGCACUCGAACAAAAUAGUAAGAAUGCUUCCUCAAAGUGAGUGUCUACAAAAUUCUGAUUAAGACCACUUGCAAACAAGUAUGAGCUAGAACUGCUCAGAACAAACAUAUGAUCGAGAUUUCAUCCGAUAUCUUAGUGGAUAAGAUCGCACGGGCUCGAAUUUAUAGUAGCCAUCGUGUGCAAGGUAGUGCACACGACUUACGAAGUAUCCCCGAGUCGUAGCAAGCUACAAGGACUCUUUAAGACACAACGAGAACUGCUGUAAGACGGCCGUGAACAAACAUACCCACUGAAUAUCGAAUCCCAACCUCACAUCAUGCAUCUGUAGGAAGAUUGUCCUAUAAGUCACUACUUGAUAUCCCACCUAUGAAUCCCCGAAAUAUCUGGUCAUGCAAUCUGGUACACGGAUACAAGGAGUAAUAUUCACACAACUCCUAUACUAAACCGUCCACCAUAUCACAUCCGUCAACACAUAACCAGAAUCUCGGACCUUCAUCUACAACAGACCCUCGUGAUCACAAUGAUACAAAGUAUAGCAGUACUCCCGAACAAUCUGCACCAUUACUGGGCACAUCAGGGUUAUCUCGCCACUACUAGUAUUGAAGCAAUUAUGAACAUCCUUCGUUCUGAGAUACUCAGAAAUUCGAAUGAUGGCGAUGUGCACAAGAAUCCCCUCGAGCUCAACUCCCCGGAAGAAAUCAAGGCAGACAGGAGGCACCAAGACAGAACUCCGUCACAUCGAUAUCAUAUAGAUUUCAAAAAUACCCGCGUGAUCCUAAAUUUUUUUUGAGCGAGAAGAGGAGUAGAAUUAAGAUUUCCUAAGUCGGGAACCUCACCAGAGCAUGGAAGAGGAGAAAAAAGAAUCCUACUCUCCGAUAUAACUAAGACUCAAAACAUUUUACUAUACUCGACUCGGCCAAGUACGAUCACACAAAGGCUCCUAUGGUCGCAAGGCUCUGAUUACCAACUUGUAACGACUAAGAUGCGGUCCUUUCCGAUUUAGGGAACGAGGCCCAAAAAUGGAAAGAAGCGCAUCUAAGCGUUCCGCAAGCAAGAUAAAUAUAGCACAUACAUAAUAAAGAAUGACAAAUAGGGAAUCGUUUGCCAGCUCAUAGAUAAUAUCAGAGUUUACAUCACACAUUUAUUCAGACAAGGUAGUUCUGCUACGGACAACAUAACAUGAGAAAAGGCUAUGCUAUCCCGCAUGCUUGCACAAGAUCACGACCACGACCUCAGUCUUCUCGAUAAUUCACGUACAGGCGGUCGUUCUCCUCAUCAUACUGCCACACCAGCUGCGUGCCAUCGGGAUCAUCUGUGUCGGGCGUACAUGUACCUGUUCGGAUAUUGAAGUAAUCUGUGAGCCACAGGGACUCAACAAUCUAUGACCUCGGUACCGAAACUAGACAAGUUAUUAGAUGAGGAAGGUUUAGUGUUUAGGUUGUAGCAUCCUAAGCAUUUGUGGUGGCUAACUUACAUAGAACAAGUUAUUGAUAUGGUGGUCUACGCUAGCGAUCGAAGUCUAGCUGAUCACUAAGUGAUCCUGAACACCUACUUACGUCAAACAUAACCCCACCGUGUUCCCGAUCGAAGAGAGGUCUUCGAAGGGGACAGUCACGGUUACGCACACCAUUGGCAGUUUUAUUAGAUUAAGUUCAAUUAUCUAUAACCGGAUGUUAACAAAUAUUCCAAGUUGCCACAUAACCGUGGGCACGGCUUUCCGAAAGAUUAAACCCUGCAGGGGUGCUCCAACUAGUCCAUCACAAACGGUCACGGGCCGCAAAGUAAUCCUCUAUCAUGAAUCUCGUGAUCUCGUCGGAUUCCUUAGAGGAAAACCUCAACUCUGGGGAGAACCAAAGCUUCACAUGGAUUUUGAUGUCAGCUGUGCUUCCCCGGCAACGGUGACAAGAAUAGUCGUGUCGACGGCACCAGGAAUCCUUCUGCUACGGCUAUGGAGCCUUGCCUUGGUGUCCCCUCGAAGCGGAAAGGGUGAUGUAGCACAGCGGUGGUAAGUAUUUCCCUCAGUUUGAGAACCAAGGUAUCAAUCCAGUGGAGGAGUAUCACAAGAUCCUGCACAAAUACAAAAAGCUUGAUCCCAACGCUAUGAAGGGGUUGUCAAUCCCUUAUAGAUUGUUCGCCAAGUGAGAACUGAAAGCAACAAAGUAACAAAGCAAAGUAAAAGCGGAGGUGUAAAUGAUGGAUGUGAAUAGACCCGGGGGCCGUAGUGUUUACUAGUGGCUUCUCUCAUCAAAGCAAGUAGACGGUGGGUGAACAAAUUACCGUCGAGCAAUUGAUAGAACCGCGAAAAGUCGUGACAAUAUCUAUGGCAAUGAUUAUAUCUAUAGGCAUCACGUCCAAAACAAGUAGACCGAUACUUUCUGCAUCUACUACUAUUACUCCACACGUCGACCGCUAUCCAGCAUGCAUCUAGUGUAUUAAGUCCAAAAGAACAGAGUAACGCCUUAAGCAAGAUGACAUGAUGUAGAUGGACAAUCUCAUAUCAACGACAAAGCCCAUCUUGUUACCCUUGAUGGCAACUACUUAAUGUGUGUCUUGAUGCCCCAACUGUCACUGGGAAAGGUCACCACAUGGUUGAACCCAAAACCAAGCACUUCUCCCAUUGCAAGAAUCAUAGAUCCAGUUGGCCAAACAAAACCCAAGACUCAGAGAGAUUUACAAGGAUAUCAAAUCAUACAUAUAAGAAAUCAGCAAAGACUCAAAUAUAUAACAUAGAUAAUCUGAUCACAAAUCCACAAUUCAUCGGAUCUCGACAAACACACUGCCAAAGAAGAUUACAUCGGAUAGAUCUCCAUGAAGAUCAUGGAGAACUUUGUAUUGAAGAUCCAAGAGAGAGAAGAAGCCAUCUAGCUACUAACUACGAACCCGUAGGUCUGAAGUGAACUACUCACGAGUCAUUGGAGGGGCGAUGAUGAUGAUGAAGAAGCCCUCCAACUCCAAAGUCCCCUCGGAAAAAAAUCAUUUUGGGGAUUUUAUUCCGUUUGGACUCCAUUCCAAAAUCAGAUCUGAAAAGAGCCAAAAACACAGGAAAAAACAGGAACUGGCACUUGGCACUGAAUUAAUAAGUUAGUCCCAAAAAAGAUAUAAAAGGCACAUAAAACAUCCAAAGAUGACAAGAUAACAGCGUGAAACCAUAAAAAAUUAUAGAUACGUUUGAGACGUAUCAGAUUCCUAUACGCAAGAUAUAUCGCUAAGGUAAGACAAGACUACAGGACCUCCCGUCGUGUCGACGACCCCGAUAAGAGUUGCGUAUCUCAGUCUCAGGACACGACGGAUGAGCGACACGUACAAUGGCCUGAUAGAAAUCUCUCAAGUUGCCCUAAGUUGGCCCCGCACAGUGCUCCGGUUUGGACCAACACUCAUGAGGAGCACUGGCCCGGGUUGUUGAUUAAUUCCUCGGGGUAGCUAUUCCCUAUGCAGAUUAUUAUUAAGUGAUUAGCAAAUUAAAACCAAUGUUGGGUCCUGUCGGACAAGUCUUAACACUACACAAUUUAUCAAGGGGGUCCUCAUAACAACCCCGAACGUGUUAGGAGCGAUUAAUUAUGGAAUCAAACACCGGUAGCUGGAAACUAUGGCGGCAAUAACGGAACAAAUCACCCGGCAAAAGGCUAGGCCUUCCAUCAUUUACGAAGUAUAUCGGGGCAUUAAUUAAAUAACAGAUCUAAACAUAAUGAUAUCCAAACUCAUGUUAUCACAUGAGACAAUUGCACCUGCAACUAGCAACGCUAACAUUAGAAGCUGAGCAAGCCUACUUAGCCAUUCAAUAUUAUCUAGGAGGGGAAAGUGUUUGGGUUUCAUGGCAAUAUGAGGAGCAAUUAUUUCAGUGGUAGGCAGUGAGCAUAUGACGAAGUAAACGUGAAUCUAGGCAUAACAAAGCUAGAGACGGUAUCAAGGUCAUGGUCAUCUUGCUUGUGAUGUCUUCAGCUUGGAACUUCUCUUGUUCGUCCUGCACGUACUCUCCCGAAUCCACGUAAUCUCUCUCCGAUCCCGGUGCUACCCAACAUAAAAAUAUCAUCCAAUGAACAACAACAACACAUGAUGCAACAAACACAUGAUGCAUGAGAUGAGAAUGUAGCAUGCAGCUCUAUUCUAGUCACUUGCAUAUGCAUGAGAAGAAAAUACAAACUUCUGGACAGAACUUCACUCUAAGCUAUCUUGACAUGCAUGAAGAUGACAUGAACAGAUGCAUCACGCGAAAACGAUGCAAAAAACAUAUAAAGAACGUUACGAACGGAGUUACGGAUCAACCGGAAACUACGAAACAAUAACUGGAGUUCUACGGAUCAAAUCUACCACAAGCACUCUCCAAUGGCAUACUUCUGGUAUUCCUAGGUUGCCACAUCACCAAACAAAGAAGUAUAGAUGGAGUGGUGCAAAGAAACUCACCACACCAUCAACUAUGCACUCACAAGCAUCAAACAACAAAACUAUACAUUCUGUCCUAAACAGCAACAUAGCAGUUUGAGAGCAACAUGCAAAGCACCUACAGCCACCCAAAUGUGCCCAAUAAGAUAUGUGGCAAAAGCUAUUCAAAAUAUCUAUAAGCAUGAGCAAAAAUAUAAUACAAAGGAGUUACACACAGAAAGAUCUACAACUGCUAACUUGGAUAAAAUAUCAGUUCUUAGGGACUUAGUGAAAUUCUCAGAUUCUUACUAGCUGUUUAUGCCCUGAAGCAUUUUAAAAGCACCCAAAACAAUAUCUACAGGAAGUCAAAUGGAAUGAAAAUUGAAAGAGAGCUAGAAAAACACAAAAGCUAAAACUCUCUAGUUGAUUGCAAGGGCUGAUUCCCAACACAUGAACUUUUGCAAGCACAACUACAAGGAAAGAAAAUAAGAGCAGUUUCUCAGACUUAGUGAAAAUCACAGAUUUUCACUAAGCUGAUAUUUUCAGCCACAUGCCUACUUUUACAAAGCACAACUUGCACAUAGAAACUCCUAAGCAUGAAACAAAACCACCAUGAUGUAGAGGGGUUCACCCUCUACUGCCACAUCAAGGAAUCAUCCUCUUAAGCUCAUCACAUCACAUGGAACCAAGCUAUAAACUUAGAACAAAACAGAAAAAUGACAUUCCGAGAAAUUGUACCAAAGGGAAAUCUGAUUCCACCAUUGGAUUCCUGGGAUGAUUCUAUCCCAAAAACAUAUAUAAUACCUAGAUACUUGCAUAGAAUAAAUGGGCACAGAGUUAAGAUGAAAAUCUACAUGGAAUCACAUAGAGGUAAAUAGUGUUAUAGCACAUGUGUUGCACACUAGUUCAUCACCUACACAUGCACAUGCACACUCUCACAACUCCAAUGGUGACAUGAGGGUUUAGACCUCAUGUAUAUGUGCCAUAGCACAUCACCAUACACCACACACACACACUAACACUAACACCCACACAUACAUGCUUGCACAUAAGUACUCAUCAAGGCAAACCAUGCCUUGGGCAUGUGGGUGUCACACACACAUGCACAGCACACACACACAUAAUUUCAUGCAUGCUUACAUCUAUAACAACACAAGGACAUACUCCUACCAUACACUAGUGCAUAUCACCACAAGCACACAACCACAACACUUGGGUGCUUGCACCACAUAUUCUAGCAAACACCAUAUGCACAAACUUAACCUAGUGCACACACACAUACUAACACACACACAUAUACACUUGCACUCAAAAUCCCUACACAUGCAUCACUACACAUGCUAGCAAAAAUAAACUAGAGACACCCUACUCGUAUAAAAAUAUUAGGCCACAGACUAGUGUUGUCCAAGCAAGCUGCAGCAACAAUACCUUGAAGAGCAAGAAGAAAACACAAAAAAAGGGGCACAGGGGAUUCGAACCCAUGCCCUUCGGAACGCCACACACAAGCAUCUCCACUGCGCUGUUGCACCUUGCUCGACAGAAUAGAGGAGGCAUACAGGUUGAGAUAUCCCUAAGCAGCUACUGUGCCCAAGAAACAAAAUAGCAAAAGGGGUGGCACCACGGGGUUUCGAACCCACGACCAUCUACUAUGCAGAACACCUACCUACCACUACGUUGUGCUUUCGAAACUUAACAGAGUAGAGGAGGAUACUCUAUUGGGUAACCCCUCUCUGCUCCUGCAACAGAUCAGCGGUGGCCGGAACAGGGGACGACCACCGAUGAAGCUACGACCUAAAUUGAUCGGCGGUUGCUUGCAGGGAGGAAGAGGGAUCCACCAGGGACCCAUUCCCAUGCCUACCGCAGCAGGAGGAAGCCUGCCACGGCGGCGCAACUAUGCUCAGCUAGGCGGCGGCUACAGCGACAGAGCGGCGGCGCUACGGCCCUAGGAUGCUACGAGCGAGGGGGAAAAGGAAGAAGAGGACGAGCAACUCACCCUGGAGUGCUCGGGGACGAUUGGCUUCGACGGAGAGGAAGAAGAGGAAGCAGCCACCGCGCGACUCGCAACUUGCUCCGGCGACGACGAUGCGGAGGAGACGCGAGGAAGGAUGAUAGUCCUCGCUGGCGUCGGGAAUGGAACAGGGGUUGAUCCCCCAUCCUCGUGGAUGGCUCGGGCUCGACGGAUGAUCGCCGGCGACGAGGGGAGGGACGCUGGAACACCGGCGCCGAACACUGAGCCUGAACCUGCUCCUACAGAUCUUACCUGACAGGGAGAGGGAAAGAGAGAUGGAAGGGAGGUGGCAGGGCUAGGAGGGAGGACGCGGAACCCUAGGCAGCAGGGCACGCACGCCGAGGUUAUAUAUGGGCCUCGACGUCCGUGAAUCUCACGGUGUCGCUACGCUCUCUCACUCACGCGCCUGUUACCGACGGAAGAAACAGGGGAAGGAAGAAGACGUCGUCAAAGAAAGGGAGGAACGCACAUGGGCUGUUGCUGGGGAAAGCAGAGAGGAGAAGAUGGGCCUCGGGACGGAAGGAGGCCCAUGCUGGCGCCUGAUAAGGAAGAAAACCCCAAGGGGUUUUCUAUUUAAAUCAAACACCAACAAAUAAAUAAGCUCCUAGGGAAACCUAUGGCACCAAAAAAAUUAAAAUAAAAAAAUGCCCCUCGUCAUAAGGAAUUAUGACCUACUUAAAUAAAAUGAAAAAGGAAUUUUUGGAGCCUUUAAAUAUUUACAAAACAGAUUUAGUUACACUGUUUUGUGAAUAUUUGCCCCUCUCAAACAUGGAUUCAAAAACACUUCAAACCCAGCAUCGCGUCCACCACAAAUCACUUUAAAUUAUGAACAUUUUUGAAUAAGGGAUGGAGCAAAUGAAACUUGAGCUUGAGAAAAAAUGGAGAGGGAGGGUUUUAAAACCUAGUGGAAAACUAACAUAGAAGCACCCCAUUCUCAAAUACACCACUCAUCACAUCACACAUCAUCAUCACAUGUCACACCACAUACAUGGGUUCACAAAAACAACAAACACAAGAGACAUGGAAGAAUGGAUGCAUGAAUGUAAGGGUAGGCAAGGUAACAUCACAUGAAAUAACACAUGCAUAGAUCUCACAAGGCAAUGACAAGAUGGACCCACAUACAGAAGGUUCCAAAUAUGGAAAGUUACACUCUGGGGCAUUACAAUCACCUUAUAAAUCUACCGUCAUUCUAAGCAAAGUAAAGGGCAUAAAAUGAUUAACAUCACAUGCAAUUCAUAAGUGACAUGAUAUGGCCAUGAUCUUGUGCUUCUUGAUCUCCAUCACCAAAGCACCGGCAUGAUCUUCAUUGUCACCGGUGCCACACCAUGAUAUCCAUCAUCGUGCCGCCAUCGAGGUUGUCGUGUUGCCUAUGCUAUUACGACUAAAGCUACAACCUAGCAAUAUAGUAAACGCAUCUGCAAACACAAACGUUAGUUUAAAGACAACCCUAUGGCUCCUGCCGGUUGCCGUAGCAUCGACGUGCAAGUCGAUAUUAACUAUUACAACAUGAUCAUCUCAUACAUCCAAUAUAUCACAUCAUGUCUUUGGCCAUAUCACAUCACAAGCAUAUCCUGCAAAAACAAGUUAGGCGUCCUCUAAUUUGUUGUUGCAUGUUUUAUGUGGCUGCUAUGGGUAUCUAGUAUGAUCGCAUCUUACUUAUGCACAAACCACAACGGAGAUGUGCAAAUUGCUAUUUAACCUCUCUCCAAGGACCGCCUCGGUCAAAUCCAAUUCAACUAAAGUUGAAGAAACAGGCACCCGCCAGUCAUCUUUAUGUAACGAGUUACAUGUUAGUCGAUGAAACCGGUCUCUCGUAAGCGUACAAGUAAUGUUGGUCCGGGCCGCUUUAAUCCAACAAUACCGUCGAAUCGAGAAAAGACUAAGGAGGGCAGCAAAUCUAACAUCAACACCCACAAUUUUUUUUGUUCUACUCGAGAUUGCAUCUACGCAUGAACCUAGCUCAUGAUGCCACUGUUGGGGAAUGUUGCAUGGGAAACAAAAUUUUUCCUACGCACACGAAGACCUAUCAUGGUGAUGUUCAUCUACGAGAGGGAGAUCGGAUCCACAUACCCUUGUAGAUCGCCAAUUGGGAAGCGUUAAGAAAUGUGGUUGAUGUAGUGGUACAACUUCGUGAUUCAAAUCACCGUCGUCCCACGAUCCGUUCCGAUCUAGCGUCGAACGGACGACACCUCCGCGUUCAGCACACGUACAGCUCAAUGACGAUCUAUGCCUUCUUGAUACAGCAAGAGAGAUGGGGAAGUAGAUGAGUUCUCCGGUAGCGUGACGACGCGGCGGUGAUGGUGAUGAUCUAUUCCUGCAGGGCUCCGCCCGAGCUCCGCAAAAAACCGAUCUAGAGGAAGAACUACUAAGUAGAGGUUUGAGUUGCACGUGGCAAAGUUGUGUCUCAAAAACCCGAAAACCUCUAGUGUAUAUAGGAGGAGGGGAGGGGCUAGCCUUGGGGCUCAAGGCAUUCCCUAGGGCGCCGGCCGAAAGGAGGAGGAGGACUCCAACUCCAAUUCGGUUUGGGGAAGGAGGUGUCCUCCUCUUCCUUCCCACCUCCCUCUUUUUUUUCUCUUUUUUUGGUUUUCUUUUCCUAGCGCCAUAGCACACUUGGGCUGGCCUCACCAGCCCACUAAGGGCUGGUGCGCCACCCUUGGACUAUUGGGCUCACUCCUGGGUGGGUGGGCCCCUCCCGGUGAAAACCCGGAACCCAUUCGUCACUCCCGGUACACUGCCGGUAAUGCCCGAAAAUUUCCGGAGAUCAAAUGAAACCAUCCUAUAUAUCAAUCUUCGUUUCCGGACCAUUCCGGAAACCCUCGUUACAUCCAUGAUCUCAUUCGGGACUCCGAACAACUAUCGGUCACAAACACCUAUAACUCAACUAUACCGAAACGUCACCGAACCUUAAGUGUGUAGACCCUGCGGGUUCGAGAACUAUGCAUACAUGACCUGAGACACUCCCUGGUCAGUAUCCAAUAGCGGGACCUGGAUGUCCAUAUUGGAUCUUACAUAUUCUACGAAGAUCUUAUCGGUUGAAUAACAUUCCCUUUGUCCUUCUGUAUGUUACUUGCAUGAGAUUUGAUCGUCGGUAUUCCUAUACCUAUUUCAAUCUCGUUACCGGCAAGUCUCUUUACUCAUUCCGUAAUACAAGAUCCCAUGACUAACACUUGAGUCAAAUUGCUUGCAAGGCUUAUAUGUGAUGUUAUAUUGCCGAGUGGGCUCCGAGGUACCUCUCCGUCACACGGAGUGACAAAUCCCAGUCUUGAUCCAUGCUAACUCAACGGACACCUUCGGAGAUACCUAUAGAGCACCUUUUUAGUCACCCAGUAACGUUACGACGUUUGAUACACACAAGGUAUUCCUCCGGUGUCAGUGAGUUACAUGAUCUCAUGGUCAUAGGAAUGAAUACUUGACACGUAGAAAACAAUAGCAACAAAAUGACACGAUCACAUGCUACGUUUAUAAUUUGGGUCUUGUCCAUCACAUCAUUCUCCUAAUGAUGUGAUCCAGUCAUCAAGUGACAACACUUGCAUAUGGUCAGAAAACCUUAACCAUCCUUGAUCAACUGGCUAGUCAACUAGAGGCUCGCUAGGGACAUUGUUUUGUCUAUCUAUCCACACAUGUAUUCAUGCUUUCAUUCAAUACAAUUAUAGCAUGGAUAAUAAAUGAUUAUCUUGAAACAGGAAAUAUAAUAAUAACUAUUUUAUCAUUGCCUCUAGGGCAUAUUUCCAACAGGCCUCACCAGACCACCAAGGGCUGGUGCGCCACCCAUGGGCUAUUGGGUCCUCUCCCGGGUGGGUGCCCCCCUCCCGGUAAAAACCCGGAACUCAUUCUUCACUCUCGGUACACUGCCGGUAAUGCCCAAAAUCUUUUUGGAGGCCAAAUGAAACAAUCCUAUAUAUCAAUCUUCGUUUCUGGACCAUUCUAGAAACCCUCAUGAUGUCCGUGAUCUCAUCCGGGACUCCUAACAACCUUCUGUCACCAACAUCUAUAACACAACUAUACCGAAACAUCACCUAACCUUAAGUGUGCUGACCCUGCGGGUUCGAGAACUAUGCAGACAUGACCUGAGACACUCCCCGGUCAAUAUCCAAUAGCGGGACCUGGAUAUCCAUAUUGGAUCCUACAUAUUCUACGAAGAUCUUAUCGGUUGAAGCUUUGUGCCAAGGAUUCAUAUAAUCUCGUAUACCAUUCCCUUUGUCCUUCGGUAUGUUACUUGCCCGAGAUUCGAUCAUCAGUAUCCCUAUACCUAUUUCAACCUCGUUACCGGCAAGUCUCUUUACUCGUUUCAUAAUACAAGAUCCCGUGACUAACACUUUAGACACAUUGCUUGCAAGGAUUAUAUGUGAUGUUGUAUUAUCGAGUGGGCUCUGAGAUACCUCUCCGUCACACAAAGUGACAAAUCCCAGUCUUUUAUCCAUGCUAACUCAACGGACACCUUCGAAGAUACCUCUAGAGCACCUUUAUAGUCACCCAAUAACGUUGCAAUGUUUGAUACACACAAGGCAUUCCUCCGAUGUCAGUGAGCUACAUGAUCUCAUGGUCAUAGGAACGUAUACUUGACAUGCAGAAAACAAUAACAACAAAAUGACACGAUCACAUGCUAAGUUUAUAAUUUGGGUCUUGUCAAUCACAUCAUUCCCCUAAUGAUGUGAUCAUGUUAUCAACUGACAACACUUGUCUAUGGCCAGGAAACCUUAACCAUCUUUGAUUAACGAGCUAGUCAACUAGAGGCUCACUAGGACAUUGUUUUAUCUAUAUAUCCACACAUGCAUUUGUGUUUCCAUUCAAUACAUUUAUAGCAUGGAUAAUAAAUGAUUAUCUUGAAACAGGAAAUAUAGUAAUAACUAUUUUAUUAUUGCCUCUAGGGCAUAUUUCCAAUAGUCUCCCACUUGCACUAGAGUCAAUAAUCUAGCUUCACAUCUCUAUGUGAUUUACAAUGUAAUGAAUGUAACACUCAUACAGUUUUGGUGUUGAUCAUGUCUUGCUCGUUGAAGAGGCUUAGUCAACGGAUCUGCAACAUUCAGAUAUGUGUGCACUUUGCAAGUAUUUAUGUGUCUCGUCCUCUUUGUGUGGAUAUGUGUGCACUUUGAUGUAAUCGCUGAUGGCGUUGAAGCGUCGCUUUAUGUGUCUCGUCCUCUUUGUGAAACCUUGGUUCCUUGGCUAGAGCAAUGGCACCAGUGUUGUCACAGAACAGAUUUAUCGGAUCCAGUGCACUUGGCACAACUCCAAGAUCUCACAUGACCUGCUUCAUCCAGACACCCUUCUUAGCCGCCUCCGAGGCAACUAUAUACUCCGCUUCGCAUGUAGAAUCAGUUACGACGCUUUCCUUGAAACUGCACCAGCUUACCGCACCCCCAUUAAGAAUAAUUUCGUAUCCGGUUUGUGACUUAGAGUCAUCCGAAUUAGUGUCGAAAUUUGCAUCGACAUAACCCUUUAUGAUGAGCUCUUCAUCACCUCCAUAAACGAGAAACAUUUCCUUAGUCAUUUUCAGAUACUUCAGAAUAUUCUUGACCGCUGUCCAGUGCUCCACUCCAGGAUUACUUUGAAACCUGCCUGCCAUACUUAUGGCAAGGCUGACAUCCGGUCUUGUGCACAACAUUGCAUACAUGAUAGACCCUAUGGCUGAAGCAUUGUGAAUGACACUCAUCGUUUCUCUAUUUUCUGCAUUCACUCGGUAUUGAGUCUUACUCAACUUCAUACCUUGUAACACAAGCAAGAAGGAAAGUGCACUUCUACACCUGAGCUAGAAUGACCUCGGUGAACAGUAAAUUCGUAAAAUAUUUUUAAAAUGUUCAAAAAAAUCUGAUUUUUUACAGCAAACGCUGACAAAUGUUUUAGUACCUUGCAAAAUUUUAGCACGAAAUCAUAUUUUUUGAAGUCAUGGCAAAAAAAGUCCAAACUAGCGAUCCAAAAUGCUUUGAAAGUAGCAUUUUCAAAGUUUCGAUCUUGUUUUUUUCCACGACUUCCACAAAUGUGAUUUCAUGAUGAAAUUUUAUGGACACUUAGAACAUUUGUCAAAGUUUGCUAAAAAAAUUCAGAAUUUUUGAACAUUUUUACAAUAUUUUUCGAAUUUACUGUUCACCCGAGCUCAUAUGAGCUCGGGUGCAAAAACAUCACGUCCAAGCAAGUACCCCUUCUUGGAUUGUUUCAUUUUGAACUGCUUCAAAAUAUUAUCAAGGUAUGUGCUUUGUGAAAUUCCUAUCAGACGCCUUGAUCUAUCUUUAUAGAUCUUAAUGCCCAAUAUGUAAGCAGCUUGUCCUAAGUCUUGAGAAAAAAAGUUCACCAAUUGACCGGUCCGAUCAGUUGACCGUUGAUUGUUAAAAAAAUAUGUAUAUAUUUUUUGAAAAAUCAUUCACAAAAAAAGUUCAUGGUUUUAAAAAAGGUUGACAAAUUUAAAAGAUAAAAUUCACAAAAUGGAAAAGGUUCAUCAAUCUUAAAAAAAAGUUCAGCAAUUUUGAAAAAGUUCAUUCGAUUUGAAAAAGGUUUAUCAAUUUUGGAAAAAAGUUCAUCAGUUUUUCAAAAGUUCAUCAAUUUUGAAAAGAAGUUCAUCGAUUUUGGGAAAAGUUCAACCAAUUUGGGAAAAGAUUUAAGAAAGUUCAACUACGUUCAUCUAUUUUCAAAAAAGUUAAUAAAUCUGAAAAAACUUCAUCAAAUCCUAAAAAAGUUCAACAUUUUUUAAAAGUUCUUUGAUUUUUAUGAAAUUAUCUAAUAUUUUGAAUUUUUUGACCAAAUUCAAAAAAGUUCAUCGAAAUUGAAAAAGUUCAUGUAAUUGAAAAAAGUUCAUUGGUUUUAUAAAAGAAUCAUGAAAUUUGAAAAAGAAUUCAUUAAAUCUGAAAAAGUUUGAUGGCAAAGUGAAAAAAGUGAAAACCGAAUAAAACCAUCCAUGAACUAAACCACGAACCGUGAAAAGCUGGUUUGGGAACCUUCUGGAAGCUUUUCAAAACCGAGUUUUCACGAGCCAAAAUAAAAAUAAAAGGAGAAGCAAAAUAAGUUGGCGGAGUUGAAGGGCGAUGCCCUCUGAGUGGCAGAGCCACAUCCCGGCUACCCGGGGCAGCUGCCCGGACUCAGCCAUGCAUUUUCGUUUGAAUAAUAGCAAUGAAUGAAGAGCUAACCACCAUUUUAUAGGGGCACACAACUCAUAGUCAUCAGCUCCAGGUACUUUGCCCCGACUUGUCGGUCGAGCUGGCUCCGCCACUGGUGGUGGUUAGAACCUCGAUCGUAACAAGGGGGGAGGGGGGCGCUUGCAAAUUGGGAAUCGUUUCUGGCCGGUGCACCGACCGAACAGUUCGGCCGGCCGCACGCGACCGCGCGGUUCGAUGACUGGGCAUGCAAUAUUUUUUCGUUUAAAUUGUUGCAACUAGCGUCAUAUUUGCUGCAAGCGUUAUCUUUUUUUCUACAUUUGUCCAGUAAAAAAACUGCAUAUACGUUUGGUUGCAACUCUAGUUCUUUGAAUUUUUUGUUACAAUCGAUGUUUUUUACUUUUGCUACAACCGUGUUAAUUUUUGCUACAACCGGCAUCAUUUUUUGUUGCAACCGUUCACUAAAAAAGUUGCAUACACGUCACGUAAAUAUUUGUUACAACCGGCGUUUCACUUUUGCUAUCACGUACCAUCAGCUUCAUUUUUUGCUACGAUCACGUAGAUACUUUUUUGCUACAAUUUUUGUUUUUUGUUGCAACUGUUGAAAAAAUUGUUGCAUCGUAUCGAAGUUUUGCUGCAUCGAAAAAAAAUGUUUCAUGAAAAUCCAACAGUGCGGACGCGCGGGAGUUAGUAGAUCGUGCGGCCUGCGCGCGGCCGGUCCAAAGUUUCGGCCGGCGCGCCGGCGCAGAUCACUCCCCUUGCAAAUUGGAAUGUAACUGACGUUUGUAGCAUCAAAUAUGUUGCGCCUAUAUUCCAGGUCCGAUAUGAAAGAAUCCAGCGCAUCCAGUUGACCCUGUAAAGCCCAUUAUGAGAGCCCAUACAAAAGGAUCCAGAAUCCUCAGGCAGUGGUCCAAAAGCCCAAGACAUAACCCCCAGAAACCUCUGACCUAGAUCGAACGACCAGAAGCCGCUAUCACAAGAUCUGUCGGCUCCCGUCGAACUCCCCGCCUUGGCUAUAUACACAUCCGCUACAUCCAGCCUCCCCCUGUCUAGCCGCCCUCCGCCUCCUCGUCCCGCUCGCUCCCGCCCUCUCUCCGCCGCCGCCGCCAUCGCCCGCGCAGCCGCAAAAUGGUAGGAAGACCUGGGAAAUCCCACUCGCCGUUAGGCUUUCUAUCUCUCCUUCUCCCUGCUCGUCUUGGUUGAUGACGAUGGGCGCCUUGCUUUUGUGCUCGUGCAGCCGUUCAAGAGGUUUGUGGAGAUCGGGCGGGUGGCCCUGGUGAACUACGGCAAGGACUACGGCCGCCUCGUCGUCAUCGUCGACGUUGUCGACCAGAACAGGGUGAGUUCGAUCCCCUUCCCUGCUUCCUCCUGCCAUUCUCGAUCUGCUUUGGCGGAGGAGCCUAGACGGGCGUAGUGACUGAGAUAGUGCUCAGUUUCAUGUUUAGUUUAGACUUUUCUUCUCCGCGUGUCCCUAGGCUGUAGAUUUGAGCUGUUCAAGGUGUGGGCUUCUGAAUUGUUCCAAGUAGAAUUGUAACUGCACGGAUAUCAUAUAGUGUAGGUGCGAUGUUUGAUUGUUUCUGUUAGCUUUUAACUGGGUAACUUGGUGUUGCUUUGUACAGUCAAUAACUUGGCUGUGAUUGGCCUCCUAAAAUCCCUUCACUUCGCUUGCAUGUAUAUCUAGCCUUUACAACUUGUACGAAGUUGAAAAAUGCUACUAGUUGAUUUUACAUGCCAUUCGAAGUUUACACUUGCCAAGCAAUAGUAUUGCAAUACUCUUAGCAGCGCAGUUAUUCUGCCGUAACUUGUUUGUUUUUUUGUAUUUGACCGAUCUCUAACACCAGGCCCUGUAUCUACCCUCACAUUGUUUUUAUUUGUAUAUGUUUCAGCUCACCCGAUCAUUGCCUGCGGCCUUGCCUAAAUGUAGUAGUUACUAUUGAAAAUAAACAGCCAUACAUUUGGCAUGCUAUUGUUCAAAUACCUGCCAUGUAUUUUGUCAUUCAAUAUUUAUUGCUGUCUUCCUUGUGAAAUAAAUAACUCAAGUAUUCACUUCAUCUGUUAUUUCAUAAAAUGUUCACCUAUAUAUAUGUAGCUCCUUCAUUUAGCUUGAUGUGUUAUCUUCCAAGAGUUGUGAUGCCUUCAUCCUUUUAUUCUUCUCAUGAUAGCUGCAUUGCUCUGUGCUGCUACUGUUUCUUGGUAUAUCCAGCAGGCUGUGGUUUGUAAUUUAUGACACUGAUGCAGUAUUUAUCAGUUUCCAUGCGGCAAUGUUUUUAGCUACUUUUCAAGUUCUGUUGGUGAAUCAUGUUUCUAAGUGCAACACUAAAUUGUAAUAGUUAGUGUCAUAGGUGAGUUGUUUGAUUGUUUCCUGCUAAUGAUUUUCUAAUGUUUCUUAGGAUAUUCAUAGCAUUUGCUGCGACAUCUACUCUGGAGUUGAUGUUGUUUAAAAUUGUUCUUUGACCCUUGGAAUCUCAUGGACCAUGUGUCUGUAAGGCAUGUCUUGUUUUGUUGUUUUGGUGAUCAUAAUUUUCUUCCAAAAAAGUGAAUAUAGUGAGAUCUUGCAUUUUAAUUACCACCAACAUGCCAUUAUGCUGCAAAUGAGGUAACUUGUAUCGUCUACUUUCUCAAUGAUGAUUGUCUGAUCUGCUUUUGAUAUGUGUUAAUAUUUGUUCAACUUUAACUUCCCUAGAGGUUACAUUUGUACAUAUUUGCAUUUUGCCAAAGUAACAUAGUUUCCUUUGGAUGCCGAAUUACUCAAUUCAUUUGCUUUUAUGUGUGAACAGGCACUUAUUGAUGCACCGGACAUGAUCCGCUGCCAGAUGAACUUCAAGCGGCUCUCCCUGACCGACAUCAAGAUUGACAUCAAGCGGAUCCCUAAGAAGGCAACUCUGAUCAAAGCUAUGGAGGAAGCUGGUAUUGGACAAGUCCUUCAAUCAAUCUUAUAAAAUAGGUAAUGGCAACUGUUUAAAUGAAUCGCAUCCCGAUUGCAGAUGUGAAGACCAAGUGGGAGAACAGUUCAUGGGGCAAGAAGCUGAUUGUCCAGAAGAGGAGGGCAUCGCUCAAUGACUUUGACAGGUUCAAGGUCAUGCUUGCCAAGAUCAAGGUGAGAUUCUCAGACCCUUGAUGCAUAAUAAUUCCUAUAAACAAACUGUGUAUGCAUGCCUGAUAUUUAUGAUCUCUAUGUAAACAGAGGGGAGGAGCUAUCAGGCAGGAGCUAGCGAAGCUUAAGAAGGAGGUUGCCGCUGCUUAGAUCACUUUGGUGGGCAACCUGUUGAGAUUUUGUUGAGCGAUGUAUCUUAUUCCCGUGCUCGUGAAAUAUUGUGCGAAUCACUCAUCACUGGUAUUGGUGGAUCAGAUGAAAUUUUAGUAUUAAAACUUAUUCUUGAGGAUCUGAGGUAGUAUGUUAUGUAUCUGUUAUGUGUGAGGGCUGAAAUCAUGGUCCUGUUGCUUGCUUACUGUUAGUUUGCUGCCUGUUUACCUGAAUUCCAGCGGACUGAAUCAUGCCCCUGAAACUAUUCACAAUGGGAGUAAU